GUCCGAUUUGCUCGUCGUAACUGUGAGGCCCAAGGUUUCGAUUUCCAAACGGUAUCCAAAGGAUUGGCUUCUAGAACCAUUUCUAGGUCUAGCCGAUUCAACAUCGAUGCUCUCUUUAGAUCUCUCCUUCGACCGCCUACUCGAGUCUGGGCCUUGUGAUUCAGACCAAAACGAUAUGAUUGAGCGAGCGAUGAAGAUGAGAUAUGUGCUCCUCGAAGCCGAUAAGAGAUCUACCAGAAAGCGUGCCACAAUGCACAAUGCCAUCGUUUGGGCCCCGCCUCUUGAUCUCACUACCAAAAUACGUGUGGAUUGAUUUAUUUUUUUUGGAGGUUUGGGUUUCGGUUAUUUGUUCGGUUGGAGUACACAAAACUCUUUGAUGGUUUACCUGGAAUGCUGGAUAUGGAGUCUACUAUUGUGAUCAAGAUUCCAAGGAUCCUUUUGUUCAUCUUCUUCUUUUACCACAUGUUUACCCAUUUUUUUUAGUUAAUCUUAUCAAGGUAUGACGGGGGAGGUACGCUGAAGAAAUUGAGAAAAGCACUUGGAGCUAUUAAGGAUAGCACCACUGUCAACUUGGCAAAAGUAAAUAAUGAAGUACAAGGAGCUUGAUAUUGCAAUUGUUAGGGCCACAUAUCAUGUUGAGCGCCCAGUGCAACAAAAGCACAUAAAUGGGAGUGUUCUCUCAAGAUGGAGAUGGCUUGUUCUUUUGAUAGCUGCCCACUUUGUGCUUCAGCUACAAGCCCUCGAGCUGAUGUUGCCAAUUGCAUUCAUGCUUUGGCUAGACGAUUGUCAAAGACACACAAUUGAGUGGUUGCACUGAAAACCUUAAUUAUUAUUCAUCAUGCUCUGAGGGAAGUGGACCCCACUUUUUCAAGAAGAGCUAAUCCAUUAUGGAAGAAGAAGAACCCAUAUGUGCACAAUAUGGCCCAUCUCAAAGAUGAUUCCAAUCCAAAUGCAUGGGAUUACAUUGCUUAGGUCUCCACAUAUGCCUUAUUUUUAGUGGAGAGGUUGGAAUGUUUUCGUGUAUUGAAGUAUGAUGUCGAGAUCGACCGCCUGUAAGGAAGCUUUUCUAUUCAUUUGGCUGUUUUAUUGUAUUUAAAUUAUCUCUGGCAAAACAUGCUGUGAAUCUGUAUUUAGUAUUUUUACUGAGCUAUGUCACCUUUGCAAUUUAGAAAAGGACAAUAUGUUUUAAGGGGUUGUGUUUGUGUUGCAGCCGGAAAAGUAUGGCAUGAAUGCUCGCAGCAUUACAUUUUGAAAUUGUCAAAUUUUUGUAGGUUGAUACUUUCUUUUGAUUCUAGCAUUUUUUGAUCGAUAAAAGUACUAACAGUACUUUUUGUAGUCUACUUGAGUUCAUAAUUCACUUGCCUAACUAUCAUAAGAUGUUCAUCAAGCACUCUGACACCUUCGCAUACACAAAAUCUGUAGCAAUGAAAAUCUGUCUUUAAGUUUUAUCUUUGUUGCUUAAUGCUUUUUCUUAGCCGAUUCAGUGCUGCCCUUGGAAUAUAUGCAUGUGGGAUGUAAAUUGACCAUGCUGUUAAGUGACUAAGUUGGGAGAUCAAACGUUAAUUAGUAGAUGAUUACAAGUGAAAAUUGUGGUGCAGAAAAGUAAAGAUUUGGACACUCCAGAAUUGCUUGAGCAUUUACCAGCUUUGUAGCAGCUUUUAUUUCGUAUUGUGCUACUUGCUUUUC